rnacentral:rRNA from 1 species
GACGAACGCUGGCGGCGCGCCUAACACAUGCAAGUCGAACGAGAGAUGAGGAGCUUGCUCUUCAAAUCGAGUGGCGAACGGGUGAGUAACGCGUGAGGAACCUGCCUCAAAGAGGGGGACAACAGUUGGAAACGACUGCUAAUACCGCAUAAGCCCACGGCUCGGCAUCGAGCAGAGGGAAAAGGAGUGAUCCGCUUUGAGAUGGCCUCGCGUCCGAUUAGCUAGUUGGUGAGGUAACGGCCCACCAAGGCGACGAUCGGUAGCCGGACUGAGAGGUUGAACGGCCACAUUGGGACUGAGACACGGCCCAGACUCCUACGGGAGGCAGCAGUGGGGAAUAUUGCACAAUGGGGGAAACCCUGAUGCAGCGACGCCGCGUGGAGGAAGAAGGUCUUCGGAUUGGUAAACUCCUGUUGUUGAGGAAGAUAAUGACGGUACUCAACAAGGAAGUGACGGCUAACUACGUG